rnacentral:lncRNA from 1 species
GUUUGAACGCACAAUUUAUUUUUAUCACACCCAUUGCAUUACUACGGCGCGUUAGAUGUUGCAGCGUCUAAGAAAGCUAUAACACACGCGUGCUAAAACGCUAUUUCAACGUCUAGAAUUUUUGUUAACGCGCCGCGCAACAGCGAGUCUUUUGGAGAUGGUCUUAGUAAAAAGAGCAACAAAGCCGCUAGUUCUUGGUUAUUUCUCCAAAAUUGCGCGCAACUGGACUUUACAUUACAGUAUGAAUAUGUCAACUCUAGGAAACAUUGCGGCAGUUUCACUGCUAUGCAGACAAGCAUCGAUGAUCGGAGACUGUGGCUGGUAUAAACACCACUGUAGGGCAGAAAGUUUGGUCGUCACCGAGUACUUUGACAUAUAGACUGUGUUGAUAAAAAAACAUUAAAAAAAACACGCAUGGGUAUGGACUAGCGGCGGGACGGAAAACGGCUCCCAUAUUACCAUGCGUGGGGACCUUGCCGU